AUGCAUAGAGAGAGAGACACAGGAGUUAAUUCUAAACCUAAGAGUCAUGUGACUAUUAGGCAUACCAUUUUAGAAGAAAUUGGAAAUAGAGUUACAACCAGAGCAGCACAAGUAGUUAAGAAAGCUCAGAACACCAAAGUACCAGUUCAGCCCAGGGAAACAACAAAUGUCAACAAACAACUGAAACCUACUGCUUCUGUGAAACAGUACAGAUAGAAAUGUUGGUUCCAAACGGUCCUUCUCCCGUACCUGAGGAUGCCUCCAUGAAAGAAGAGAACAUCUGCCAAGCUUUUUCUGAUGCCUUGGUCUGCAAAAUUGAGGAUAUUGAUAAUGAAGAUUGGAAUAACCCUCAGCUCUGCAGUGACUACGUUAAGGAUAUCUAUCAGUACCUCAGGCAGCUGGAGAUUUUGCAGUUCAUAAAUCCACAUUUCUUAGAUGGAUGAGAUAUAAAUGGACAUAAGCGUACCAUCCUGGUAGACUGGCUGGUGCAAAUCCCCUCCAAGUUUAGGCUUCUUCAGGAGACUCUGUAUGUGUGUGUUGCCACGAUGGAUUGAUUUUUACUGGUUCAGCCAGUUUCCCAUAGGAAGCUUCAACUAGUUUGGAUUACUGCUCUGUUCUUGGCUUCCAAGUAUGAGGAGAUGUUUUCUCCAAAUAUUGAAGGCUUUGUUUACAUCACAGACAAUGCUUAUACUAUUUCCCAAAUCCAAGAAAUGGAAACUAAUUUUGAAAGAACCGAAAUUUCAGUUGGGUGGACCCUUGCCACUUCUUAAGGCAAGCAUCACAAGCCGGAAAGGCUGAUGUUGAACAGAACACUUUAGCCAAAUAUUUGAUG